rnacentral:rRNA from 1 species
GUGACUGCGUACCUUUUGUAUAAUGGGUCAGCGACUUAUAUUCUGUAGCAAGGUUAACCGAAUAGGGGAGCCGGAGGGAAACCGAGUCUUAAYYGGGCGUUAAGUUGCAGGGUAUAGACCCGAAACCCGGUGAUCUAGCCAUGGGCAGGUUGAAGGUUGGGUAACACUAACUGGAGGACCGAACCGACUAAUGUUGAAAAAUUAGCGGAUGACCUGUGGCUGGGGGUGAAAGGCCAAUCAAACCGGGAGAUAGCUGGUUCUCCCCGAAAGCUAUUUAGGUAGCGCCUCGUGAAUUCAUCUCCGGGGGUAGAGCACUGUUUCGGCUAGGGGGCCAUCCCGGCUUACCAACCCGAUGCAAACUGCGAAUACCGGAGAAUGUUAUCACGGGAGACACACGGCGGGUGCUAACGUCCGUCGUGAAGAGGGAAACAACCCAGACCGCCAGCUAAGGUCCCAAAGUCAUGGUUAAGUGGGAAACGAUGUGGGAAGGCCCAGACAGCCAGGAUGUUGGCUUAGAAGCAGCCAUCAUUUAAAGAAAGCGUAAUAGCUCACUGGUCGAGUCGGCCUGCGCGGAAGAUGUAACGGGGCUAAACCAUGCACCGAAGCUGCGGCAGCGACACUCAGGUGUUGUUGGGUAGGGGAGCGUUCUGUAAGYCUGCGAAGGUGGCCUGUGAGGGUUGCUGGAGGUAUCAGAAGUGCGAAUGCUGACAUAAGUAACGAUAAAGCGGGUGAAAAGCCCGCUCGCCGGAAGACCAAGGGUUCCUGUCCAACGUUAAUCGGGGCAGGGUGAGUCGACCCCUAAGGCGAGGCCGAAAGGCGUAGUCGAUGGGAAACGGGUUAAUAUUCCCGUACUUGGUGUUACUGCGAAGGGGGGACGGAGAAGGCUAUGU